CUUGAUGUUUGUGUGUUGUUAGAAUAACUGCUUGACUCGGCCCACGGUGUUUCUGUCGCCGGACAUCGAGCAGAAACAGGCCGGUAAACUGAAGGACAUCAUCAAGAGGCACCAGGGGUCCAUCACGGAGGACAAGUCCAAAGCCACCCACCACAUCUACCCGUCUCCAUCCCAACAGGAAGAAGAGGAAUGGCUUCGUCCUGUCAUGAGGAAAGACAAGCAGGUGCUGGUGCACUGGGGUCUGUCCCCCGACAGCUAUGAUACCUGGGUGUCAGCCAGCGAGGUGGAUGGAGACGUGGAGGACGCCCCCAGCACGGACAGACCCUGGAAGGUGAGCAGCAACCACUUCAACAUCUUUAAUCCCCCGAACGUAAUU